rnacentral:rRNA from 1 species
GAUGAACGCUAGCGGCAGGCCUAACACAUGCAAGUCGAGGGGUAACUAGAGUGAUAGCAAUAUUACUUUGGCUAGACCGGCGCACGGGUGCGUAACACGUAUGCAACCUACCUUAUACUGGGGAAUAACUUCGAGAAAUCGGCGCUAAUACCCCAUAACAUUGCGAAGAGGCAUCUCUUUGCAAUUAAAGCUCCGGCGGUAUAAGAUGGGCAUGCGUCCAAUUAGCUAGUUGGUGAGGUAACGGCUCACCAAGGCUACGAUUGGUAGGGGUUCUGAGCGGAUGAGCCCCCACACUGGUACUCAGACACGGACCAGACUCCUACGGGAGGCAGCAGUGAGGAAUAUUGCGCAAUGGACGAAAGUCUGACGCAGCCAUGCCGCGUGCAGGAUGACGGCCCUAUGGGUUGUAAACUGCUUUUGUACGGGAAUAAACCCUUCUACGUGUAGGAGGCUGAAGGUACCGUAAGAAUAAGCACCGGCUAACUCCGUGCCAGCCGCCGCCGUAA